rnacentral:rRNA from 1 species
UUCGGACUGGAGUCUGCAACCCGACUCCACAAGUUGGAUUCGCUAGUAAUCGCGCAUCAGCCAUGGCGCGGUGAAUACGUUCCCGGGCCUUGUACACACCGCCCGUCAAGCCAUGGGAGCCGGGGGCGCCUGAAGUCCGGGACCGCGAGGACCGGCCUAGGGCGAAACUGGUAACUGGGGCUAAGUCGUAACAAGGUAUC